CCCAACCCACCACUUCAAUCAAAGCACAGAAAAGUGCACAGCUUUUAUGUUGCACUCACAGUCGAGGAAAAUUAAGACCAGAAACCACCCAAGUACCAAAUGCAUCACGGUUUGUUUGGAGACUUCAGCAUCCUGAUUCCCUCCAGGCUCAGCCGCUUUCAAUGGGAUAAAUUGCACAGAGGAGUCCCUCCAACCCAGAGCUUGGUGCACACCAUCUGCAGGCAGCCACGGUGCUCUGUUCCCAAGCAGAGCUGCUUCCCUGGCAGGCUGUGACCUGUUGCAGGACUCCUCCUUGCCUGCCUGGAGGGGACAGCUCCACCUGGCUCAGCUGCAGGAGGAGAGGGGCAGAACCUGCAGGACAAUUUUCCCCGCGCACUUUGGACAGCAGCAUCCAAGCCACCAGGAAUAUUUGCUUGAUCUGCACAAAACCCAGAGGAAAAACUGGCUCUUACAGCCACCAGCUGCUGCUGCUGCAAAGGUUUAUAGCUGGAAUAAAGAGAGAACACAUCCUCCCUAAAGCCAGACGACAGCCCAACCCAGACAGAGGCAAGAAAUCAUCUCUGUCCACUAAGCUUUUUUGUCUUGCAGGAGAGGUGAAAUUGGGAAUACUGGAUCAGGUGGGAGAAAAGAACAACAGAGGAGAGGUAAAUAAAUAAACAACCACGGGGCCCAUGUGCCCAGGAGGCUCCUGGUAGCUCAUCCUUGCAACACACAUGCAAGUUUGUCCACAGAUGCAGCAAACAAAUUAAAUCAGCUUCACCAGUGAGAGCCUGACCUUUUCCAUCUCCCCCCCAGCAGAAAUCAGGCUCUGACAGGGACCAAAAAAAGGGUUAGAAACAGCAAAGAUGAUAAAGUCAGGCAUCAGAAGCACAGGGGGCUGAAGGGAGAAGACAGGCAGGUGAAAGGACAAGCCAGGAAAACAUGAAAUAUUGCAAGUCAUCCUCUGUGGCCAAAAUACCAGGAGAUAACCUGUCCCAAUAAACUCCUGGCAGUGGAGGGCGAGGCCA
rnacentral:lncRNA from 1 species